AGAGUUUGAUCAUGGCUCAGGAUAAACGCUGGCGGCGUGCCUAAUGCAUGCAAGUCGCACGGAGUCACCUUUCGGGGUGAUUGAGUGGCGAACGGGUGAGGAACGCGUGGACAACCUACCCCGGCGUGGGGGAUACCCGCCAGAAAUGGCGGCUAAUACCGCGUACGGUUCCCUGGCGCGAGGCUGGGGAAAGAAAGCCGCAAGGCGCGCUGGGAGGGGUCUGCGCCCGAUUAGCUGGACGGCGGGGUAACGGCCCACCGUGGCGAUGAUCGGUCGCUGGUCUGAGAGGAUGAUCAGCCACACGGGGACUGAGACACGGCCCCGACUCCUACGGGAGGCAGCAGCAAGGAAUUUUCCGCAAUGGGGGCAACCCUGACGGAGCAACGCCGCGUGCCGGAUGACGCCUCUUGGGGUGUAAACGGCUUUUGCCGGGGGAGAGAACGGACGGUACCCGGCGAAUCAGGACCGGCUAACUACGUGCCAGCCGCCGCGGUAAUAC
rnacentral:rRNA from 1 species